rnacentral:lncRNA from 1 species
AGUUGCUAGGUUGAUGUGAGGUAAACGAUCAAGGAUAUGGGGUUCCUUGUAUACUGGAGUAAUGGAAACGCCUGUAACCAUUGGAGUUGAAAUGCUUGAAGUUUGGGCAGUGGUGGUGGAUUCCAUUUGUUGAGAGAAGUUGAAAACUUCUUGUUGUUGAGCAUCCAUAGUUGAAGAAGAAGAUGAAGAGUUUGCAGAAAUGCUUCAGAGAGGUUUAGGGUUU